UUUAGGUUUAAAAUCUGGGUUUACAUGUACUUUCUUGGCUACUAGAACAAUAUAUUUACUAUUACAUAAUACUCAGACUGUAAUAGAAGUGAAAAGUCCUUGGAAGAGUCCUUGGUUCAUCCCUUUGAUCCCUUUUCCAUGUAGACAAGCUAUAUCUACUGGAGGAUUUUCAUGAUGCAGGAAUUUGGUCAGCAUGGUGAAGACCUAUUUCACAUGGGUAAAGAAAUAGAAUAAGGAGCAGCUGGGAAACUAAACAGACUAAGCUACCAGAUCCUGAAAUCCUUACUGUGGCUCCAUAAUAUGGGGAAGCAAAAAAGAAUUACAGGAAGAAUUGUGUGAAAUGAUGCUGAGUGAAGUUAAUGCAAUCUAGAAAAUGACUACCAGAAUGUGAUCAAAAGGAACAAUAUAAUGAAAUAGAAUGGCAUUUAUUUGGGAUGACCAAUCUUGGUCCUAUAGAAGAGAUGAAGAAAUGCAGUUCCCUCCUUCACUCUGAGAGCAUGAUGCUUAGAGAAGAGCACCAACAAGUGGAUUCUGCAGCUGGAUGA
rnacentral:lncRNA from 1 species